UACGAAGGGGGCUAGCGUUGUUCGGAAUUACUGGGCGUAAAGCGCGCGUAGGCGGCUUUGUAAGUUAGAGGUGAAAGCCCGGGGCUCAACCCCGGAACUGCCUUUAAGACUGCAUCGCUUGAAUCCGGGAGAGGUGAGUGGAAUUCCGAGUGUAGAGGUGAAAUUCGUAGAUAUUCGGAAGAACACCAGUGGCGAAGGCGGCUCACUGGACCGGUAUUGACGCUGAGGUGCGAAAGCGUGGGGAGCAAACAGG
rnacentral:rRNA from 1 species